AGGAUGCAAAUAUAAUAAAAGUGCAUGGAGUGACUGUGACACAACAACAGAUACCGUAAGCCGACUUUUGACUCUAAAAUCCGGCGAGGAAGGAUACCAACAGACACAGAACUAAACUAUAACAUGUGAUAGGUUUGAAAGACUUCAAGCAUGGAAAGUAAGAAAGAUGGAAAGAAGAAGAGAAUGGCAGGGGAAAAACAACAGACGGAAGAGAAUAAACA
rnacentral:lncRNA from 1 species